rnacentral:rRNA from 1 species
CCAAGAGUGGGGGAUAACGAGGCGAAAGUUUGCUAAUACCGCAUACGAUCUCAGGAUGAAAGCCGGGGACCGCAAGGCCUUGCGCUCCUGGAGCGGCCGAUGGCAUAUUAGGUAGUUGGUGGGAUAAAAGCUUAUCAAGCCUACGAUCUGUAGCUGGUCUGAGAGGAUGAUCAGCCACACUGGGACUGAGACACGGCCCAGAAUCCUACGGGAGGCAGCAGUGGGGAAUUUUGGACAAUGGGCGAAAGCCUGAUCCAGCCAUGCCGCGUGCAGGAUGAAGACCUUCGGGUUGUAAACUGCUUUUGUACGGAACGAAAAGCUUUUCUCUAAUAAAGGGAAGUGAUGACGGUACCGUAAGAAUAAGCACCGGCUAACUACGUGCCAGCAGCCGCGGUAAUACGUAGGGUGCAAGCGUUAAUCGGAAUUACUGGGCGUAAAGUGUGCGCAGGCGGUUUUGUAAGACAGAGGUGAAAUCCACGGGCUCAACCUGGGAACUGCAUUCGAAACUGGCAGGCUGGAGUCUUGUAGAGGGGGGUAGAAUUCCAGGUGUAGCGGUGAAAUGCGUAGAGAUCUGGAGGAAUACCGGUGGCGAAGGCGGCCCCCUGAGCAAAGACUGACGCUCAGGUGCGAAAGCGUGGGGAGCAAACAGGAUUAGAUACCCGGUAGUCCACGCCGUAAACGAUGUCGAUUUGGAGGUUGUGCCCUUGAGGCGUGGCUUCCGGAGCUAACGCGUUAAAUCGACCGCCUGGGGAGUACGGCCGCAAGGUUAAAACUCAAAUGAAUUGACGGGGGCCCGCACAAGCGGUGGAGCAUGUGGUUUAAUUCGAUGCAACGCGAAGAACCUUACCUGGUCUUGACAUCCACAGAACUUUCCAGAGAUGGAUUGGUGCCUUCGGGAACUGUGAGACAGGUGCUGCAUGGCUGUCGUCAGCUCGUGUUGUGAAAUGUUGGGUUAAGUCCCGCAACGAGCGCAACCCUUAUCCUUUAUUGCCAGCGGUUAGGCCAGGAACUCAUACGAGACUGCCAGUGAUAAACUGGAGGAAGGUGGGGAUGACGUCAAGUCAUCAUGGCCCUUACGACCUGGACUACACACGUGCUACAAUGGCGCAUACAAAGAGAAGCGACCUCGCGAGAGCAAGCGGACCUCAUAAAGUGCGUCGUAGUCCGGAUUGGAGUCUGCAACUCGACUCCAUGAAGUCGGAAUCGCUAGUAAUCGUAGAUCAGAAUGCUACGGUGAAUACGUUCC